GAAGAUGGCUUGUUUUCUGGGUUAAAUAAGUUUGUUCUCUCAUUAAAACAUUCUUGUUUUCACUAUUAAAAUUGUUCAAUUACAUGCUCCAUGUUAUCUUGCCCUUGGUUGUCAUGCUAAACGGCAGCAACACACACCUGUAUAGCUAGACAUGUGGUACUGACCUAGAUGUAACAUGACUAGAUUGUUUUGUCAUAAUUUCAGCUAAAAGACAAUCUAUAGGGAGGAGAUUAAUGCUUUUACUUUUAGUGAAUGAAAACAAAUUCCAUGCUGUUGGGCACCUUGACAUGUAUCCGUACAAUAUACACUUGUUUGACAUCAGAAGUCAAGCUUUGUCGUUUUUCUUCAUAAGUUGACUGUUUGAAUCAUGUUGUCUAUGAGAACAAAAUCCUCUGGAUCUUUUAUUUGAUUCAUAGUUACCAUAUUUGCUCAACUCCCUUGUGUACUUCGAUUUCGCCUCACGAACGUCCCAAAUCGCUAGGGGACGCGAUCUUGGUCGCCAAAAUGGGAGUUCCGGCAAGCAAGAAGGGGAAAAAAAAAAGGAAGAAGAAGAAAACAACAGCCAUGCGUGGAAGAAUAAGAGAGCCAACAACGCAAGAAGAAGAAGAAGAACAGAAACAACAAAAAGAUGUUCUUUUGGGUUGGAUAGGUGGGACUCUUUUAGUUUUUCCUUUUUUCCUAUAUUAGAGAGUUAAGUGGGACAUCAGGUUUUGGAAGGGGCAAUAAGUAACUUUUGACUAAUUUAAUGUUGGAUGAUAUAUUAUUAGAUGAAAUUGUAAACUUUAGGAAUGUAAUAUACAAUCAAUAUUUUUUACUAGUUGUUAUUGAGGAGAGAAUUUUUAGAAAAUAUAAAAAUUAUUCAUUAUAAUUUUAAUUAUUUAAAAUUAGUUUAAUAAUAAUAAUAAUAAAAUGACUUAAAUUUUGAAUAACAUUAAUAAAUUAUAUUAAAUUAAAUUUUUAAUUUUUUAUAAACAUAUUAUGUUAAAUAAAAUUAAAAAAUAAGUUAUUUAUUAAAUAAAUAUAAUGAGUAUAUCUCAAAUCGAAUUGACGUAUCGACUAAACGAAUUGCGAAUCGAAUUAGCGUACCAAUUAAGACUACCCCUUACGAAUCCUAUAUUUCAUUUAGUGGGGUACUGUGUACCAUGCACUCGUACCACGACUUGGGAGUAUCACGUUCCUUGUAACUAUGUCCUUGCCAAAAAUUACUAGUAAAGAUUCUAUCCCUAUCCGAAACAAUAAUUUGAGGAACUCCAUGUAACUUGAAAACAUUAUCCAAGAAAAGUUGAGCUACUGUUACAACAGAAUAAGGAUGAGCUAAAAGCAAGAAAUGUGCAAAUUUGGUAUAUCUACACACCACAUCUAAAAUGAUAUCCUUGCCUUUUGACUUGGGAAGUCGCUCAAUAAAAUCCAUAGAAAUCUGCUGCCACGCUUGAGAAGGGAUGGGUAAUGGCAAUAACAACCCUGGAUAGGCACAGUGUUCUGCUUUGCACCUUGCACAAGUCUCACAUUCCUUCGCCCAUUUCAUCACAUCUUGCAGCAUUCCAGGCUAGGAAAAAUAAAAGAGAAACUUUUUGAUCUUCAUAUUGGUGGCAUGAACACUUGAAUGAACUACCAUAGGAGAGUCAUGAUAUGACUGCAGUAAAACAACUUUUAAAGUAGUAGAAGAACCCACAUAAAUUAUCAUUGUAGUACAGAAUUCCACUUUUCAAUUGAUAACCAGGAAUAGCAUUACUAUCCAAAGAAAGCUGCUGAAUCAAUCCACUAACCUUCUCAUCUCCAUCAUAACUCUGCAUCACAUUUUGCAUCCGAACAGGUACUGCUACUGGAUUUAUAAUAGUACAAUAAUGGCUUGAAUACUCAUACUCAGGUGUCCUUGAUAAUGCAUCUGCCACUUUAUUUUCAAUGCCCUUUCUAUACAAAAUUUUAUAGUCCAAACCAGACAAAUUAGAAAUUCCCCUUUGCUGUAAAUGAGUAUGCAACCUUUGCUCUAGGAGGUACUUAAUACUCUCAUGGUCAGUUUUAAUUAAAAAUUGACCCUGCUUAAGGUAAUGUCUCUACUUCCCAACAGCAAAAGUAAUGGCCAAAAGUUCCUUCUCAUAAAUUGAUAAGGCUUGACUUCUAGGGUCAAAAAUGCUUUAGAAAUAUAAGCUAUUGGAUGCCCUUGCUGUUGUAAAACAGCCCCCAUGCUCCAAUUGCUGGCAUCUGUCUCAAUGAUAAAUGGUUUAGUAAAGUCUGGUAAGGCAAGGACUGGUGCCUCAGACAUGAGCUUCCUCAGUGUAUCAAAAGCCUGUUGAGCUGCCUCAUCUCACUGAAAAUUAUCUUUCCUCAAAAGGUCAGUUAAAGGCUUGCAUAUUAUACCCUAGUGUUUGACAAACUUCCUAUAGUAUCCUGUAAAACACAAGGAAACUUCUAAGAUCUUUAACUGAAACUGGAGCUGGCCAAUUAAUCAUGGCAGCAACCUUUUUGGGAUCAGUAGCUACACCCUGCCCUGAAAUAAUAUGCCCAAGGUACCCCACUUCAAUCUCCCCGAAGAAACAUUUAGAUCUCUUGGCAUAAAGUUGCUGCUGCUGUAAAAUAUCAUACGGUUCAACUGUCAACAGGUGUUUGUCUUGGAGAUUCACUUAGCAGGAUCAUCUGGACAGCAUUCAUAUGAGUAUAAUGUUUGAAAUCUAUAUUCUUUUGCUCAAAGGAAACUUUUUUUGUUUUUGGGAAAUUUGACCCUUAAGGCAUUCUCAUCUUAUACCUACAUAUAAGCAAACUAUGAUUGAUCUGGAAUUGUUUCUGUCAAAGCAAUUCAAUUGUAAAUUUUUGGGGUCCAACACUCUGAAGGAUGGGGCACUUUAUGUUUAUGUUCAUGGUUUUUACCCUUUGUCUGACUUGCAGGUACAUGUCUUCCACAUUACUAAGAGCUGCUAGUGAACAUACUUCAGUUGUUGCCGUUGUUGGGAAGGGACAUUUGCAGGGAAUUAAGAAGCAUUGGAAGCAGCCUGUUCCGGUUGGUGAACAAUUUCAUUUUGUUUAUUAGGUUCUAUUUAUAACAAUAGAUUCUUUCAAUUCUGUUGAUGAACAGUUGACCAAAUUUUAAGGUGCUUAAACAUAUACAAUUGAUUUAUCUCUACAGGUCCUCAAAAAUAACUAACAUCCAUAUUGUGCUUUGCCUUCCUAGUGAUGGGUAUUUGUGAUAUUUUGUAUACCACAAUUAUAUACUUGUCAUUGGAUUUUCAUCUCAUGAGUGCUUCCUUACCUGUGCUGCAGAUGAAGGAUCUCCUGGAAAUGCCUUCACCGAAACCAGCUGUUUCUGCUGUGAAGGUUCUUACGUCUCUUGGUGUUGCAGCUGCAGGUGUGGCUAUUAUCUCGGGCAUUUAUCUUGCAUGCAAGAAAUAGUUUUACUGAUGUUUCUUGAUUUACUAUUUCCGGUCACAUUAAGCAAGGGUAAAUUAGUUGUUUUUUUUUUUUUUUUUUUU
rnacentral:misc_RNA from 1 species